rnacentral:rRNA from 1 species
CAAGCCCUGGAAACGGGGUCUAAUACCGGAUAAUACUUUCUCCCGCAUGGGAGAAGGUUGAAAGCUCCGGCGGUGAAGGAUGAGCCCGCGGCCUAUCAGCUUGUUGGUGGGGUGAUGGCCUACCAAGGCGACGACGGGUAGCCGGCCUGAGAGGGCGACCGGCCACACUGGGACUGAGACACGGCCCAGACUCCUACGGGAGGCAGCAGUGGGGAAUAUUGCACAAUGGGCGAAAGCCUGAUGCAGCGACGCCGCGUGAGGGAUGACGGCCUUCGGGUUGUAAACCUCUUUCAGCAGGGAAGAAGCGAAAGUGACGGUACCUGCAGAAGAAGCGCCGGCUAACUACGUGCCAGCAGCCGCGGUAAUACGUAGGGCGCAAGCGUUGUCCGGAAUUAUUGGGCGUAAAGAGCUCGUAGGCGGCUUGUCACGUCGGAUGUGAAAGCCCGGGGCUUAACCCCGGGUCUGCAUUCGAUACGGGCAGGCUAGAGUGUGGUAGGGGAGAUCGGAAUUCCUGGUGUAGCGGUGAAAUGCGCAGAUAUCAGGAGGAACACCGGUGGCGAAGGCGGAUCUCUGGGCCAUUACUGACGCUGAGGAGCGAAAGCGUGGGGAGCGAACAGGAUUAGAUACCCUGGUAGUCCACGCCGUAAACGUUGGGAACUAGGUGUUGGCGACAUUCCACGUCGUCGGUGCCGCAGCUAACGCAUUAAGUUCCCCGCCUGGGGA